GCGUUUCUGGAGAGUAUCCGCACCGCAGCCCGACCCUGACGCAAGGAGUGAGGACUCCCUUCAAGAGGAGUCCUUUGAAUCCUGGUGCACCAUCACGAAGACAUCCAAGGAAGACCUGCGCACGGACGCACUUUGGAGCCAGCAGCCUCAGAAAGAGAAUGCAACAUCAGAUAUUCAAAUUGAAGAUUUAGAGUAAGAAGAAGAUCUGAGACUGCUGGCUCCAAAGUGUGUCCGUCGCGCUGCCCAGG